GGUGACAUAGCCAAAUGGUAAGGCUUUGGAUUGCAAAUCCUUCAUUUUCCAGUUCGAAUCUGGAUGUCAUCU
rnacentral:tRNA from 1 species